GUGACUUGUGCACUGUGUUCAACCAUUCAGUCAAUAAUAACUGCUGCUGUGCAGAGAACAGUUCUCACACUGAAUGUUGAACAUCAGCCACUUUGUCCUGUUGAUUUCAACCUUGUCGUACAGAUGGAACAUUGGCUGUGGAUUCUUCUCACUGCUCUGGGCUUUGGUCUAAUAUCUGGAAACAAGAUUCAUCCUGUUGAAGCUGAAGUCAGUGGAAGAGAAGGAGAACCUGUCACACUCAGAUGUCAAUAUGAAACAUCUGGUAGUGGCAUUGUCCUUCACUGGUACAGGCAGCAUUCUGACCUUCAGCCUCCUCACUUUAUCCUCUGGAAAGGAGCAAAGAAUUCCCCAUCUCAGUAUAUCCGUGACAGCCGAUUUAAAUCCCAAACACCAGGCCAGACCACAGAGCUGACCAUCCCAGUCCUAACCCUGGCAGACACAGCUCUGUACUACUGUGCUCUAGAAACACAGUGA